CCCCUUCGUCUAGAGGCCUAGGACACCGCCCUUUCACGGCGGUAACAGGGGUUCGAAUCCCCUAGGGG
rnacentral:tRNA from 1 species